CGUCGGUUUGGUGACGUUGUUCCAACGUACAUAUUUCGACAUUAAUCUAACGUUGGAUAAAUGUUAAAAUUGCGUCGCGAUAUUAACAACCUAAAAUUAACGUCUCUCUGACGUCGGUUUGGUAACGUUGUUCCAACGUACAGAUUUCGACAUUAAUCUGACGUCGAAUAAAAGUUUAAAUUGCGUCACGAUAUUGACAACCGAAAUUCCAUGUCUAUUCAACGUCAGUUUGGUAACGUUGUUCCAACGUACAGAUUUCAACAUUAAUCUGACGUUGAAUAUGCGUUUAAAUUGCGUCACGAUAUUAACAAUGUUAAAUUCAAUGUCUAUCAAUCGUCAGUUUUGUAAUUGUUCCAACGUAUUUUGACAUUAUUCUGAUGUUGGAUAAAUGCUUAAAAUUGCGUCGUGAUAACGACCUAAAUGUACCAACGUCGGUUUGGUAAACUUUGUUUAACAUACGGAUUUUAAUUAGUCCAAAGUUGAAAAAAUGUCGAAAUUAAGUGCGUCGCAAUCAAACAUAUUGCAUUGCUUUGAAAUUGAGUAUCCUCGCGGUUACUUCAACGUCAGUCCUGCUGUAUCAAUUAACGUAUAAUUUUAACUAUCAAAGUGCAAAAUAUUAUGUCAAGAAAUAUAAACAAAAUAGCCGACUUAAUUGAACUUUGUGGCCUUUUUUAUGAAAACAUAUUAUUUGUCAGCACGCCAAAGCUGUGACGCUAGCCAAUCACACGGCGCGUAAUUUGUUCUACAUUCCAAGGUUGUGACGCUGGCCAAUCAGUUUUCAUGUACUCUCUUUGAAUCACGAUAUGGCGCGCAAGCAUAUGACCGUUACAUAUUUCGACAUCAUACUGCAGUUGUGUGGACGUGUAGCGUGCAGCCGACAUCAUUUUACUCAAAUAACAGAAGAGUUUACAAGACCUCACAGAUGACGAAACCCCACUCAGCAAUGAUUCAUACAGGAAUUGAGGAGGAGCCAAAGUCAGCAUGGAUUGUCGAACCAGUAUGGAGGAGUUAUGUAUGACUUUCGAAGAUGCUUCAGUUUGAAAUCUUUCGGACAGUACUCGCAGUGCCGUAGCUGGUGCAUGACCAAGUGAUUGAAGACAGUUCAACAAUGAUGGGCAGAGUGGAACUGAAA